rnacentral:rRNA from 1 species
GACGAACCGUGCGAACGUUAUUCGGAAUCACUGGGCUUAAAGCGCGUGUAGGCGGAAGGGCACGUCGGUUGCUGAAAGCCCCCGGCUCAACCGGGGAACGGGCGCCGAAACGACCUUUCUCGAGGGGCGUAGGGGGAGCUGGAACUUCCGGUGGAGCGGUGAAAUGCGUUGAGAUCGGAAGGAACGCCCGUGGCGAAAGCGAGCUCCUGGACGCCAUCUGACGCUGAGACGCGAAAGCCAGGGGAGCGAACGGG